AAAACUAAAAAGUAAAAACAAGGAAAGCAGAAUUCCCGGAACACGAAAGAAAAGCAAGGAAAAGAUGGAGACGGACACCACAGCUUCCGAAACAAUGGAUUACCAGUACACCAACCCGGCAUCCAAAAACGAUACAGUUUCGGUUCCCUCUUCUUCCGAUAUUCCCUUCACUUCCCCCACUCCUACUACUACUACAAUGGAUUACCAGUACUUGGUAAUGAAUUGAAUAGGGAGUUAGGUUUGUCAAAUGGGGAAACAAGGCACAGGAUGGUGGGUGUAGUAGCGGAGGCGCAGAGACCUUUGUUUCCGUCGCAGUGGGACAGCGUACAGAAGGCAGCAGCGGCAAUGGACGCUGUUGUGAAGGUGUUUUGUCGCUGCCGUGGCAGAGGAAGCGACAGUACAGCUCCAAUAGCAGCGGGUUCAUUAUGGCGGGGAGACGGGUCUUGAGUCUUGACUGAUGCCCAUUCUGAGAGCAUCACAUCGCGGUAAAACUCAUGAAGCAAGGGUCUGAUACCAAGUACCUGGCCGCGUUCUUAGCUACUGGGUCGGAGUGUGAUAUUGGUAUGGAAAAUUUAAACUUUGGACGUAAUCUCCACAACUUUUUGUUUUUUGAGUAAGCAAAUUGUGCUGAUUCUUAUUUGUAGAUUGAACUCAUCAUUUGAAUGAGAUUGCAACACAGAAUGAUACUUACUUAAGGGUAAGUAAUUGAAGCAGUCUUCCGCUCUUCAGGAGUUUGUUUUGGGUCAUAGCAAGGGCAUGUGAGUUUGUUGAGUUGCACGCGGGAUUUGAGUUCCAUGUUGGUUUUCUUUGUAGAAACUAGUUUCUUGCCUUCAAUCACAUAAAAAUGGGAAGAGGGCUCAAUCUGAUGUAGAUUAUUGCUGCUUCCUUAAUUGAGUGACAGAGAUAGAGCCACUUAAGAAUUACAAUUCUUUUGUUUGUGUGUGUGGUCAUCCCAUUUAGCAUGCACAGGACCAAACAACUAUUAUGGAUUUCCUGUUAAUUGUACAGUAACGCAGUAUAGGAAAAGCUAUAUAAGCUAAUUAUAUUGAAUUCAUUAGGCUGCUUGCAUGUGUGGUAGGUUUGACUUCCAUUGAAGCCCUGGUUUACCUUUCAUAUCUGGUGCGGCUGUAUCAAUCGAGGGUUUUAUCUUACUGGGAUUACUGGAUGGCAUGUGGUAUGGUUGAUUUAGAAAAAAAUAUUUAGUUAUUCAGUGAGUUGUUAUUGGUUGAUUUAACUUUGUGUGUCUUUCGAUGCUGAGAAGAAUGUUUGAUGAGUUAUGGUUUGCUUUUAGUUCAUUUACACAAUAGGGUAUAAUUACUUGAUUCCUAGCAGAACAUUGAUUUAACAAAUCAAUCUAUUGGAAGCUGGUUUGACGCAAAUGAACUGUGCAAAUACAUCAUGGAGAUUAAUUCUGUUGAGUUAUUGCUGAUGAAUAUUUGUUUACUGGAUUUUGUAAUGUUGUUACUGGUAUGCUGAAUUAUGUGGAAGCAUGAUCAGUAAUGGAAUGGGAAAGUAGUAUGGAUUCAUCCAUUAAUUGAAUAACGAAUGCUUUGGUCUAGCAUUGUUAACAGUUAACGAUGACGAUUUUCUGGGAGGGAGUUUCAUCUGUUGAUUUUCGAGAUUGGCCUGCACUCUGCACUCCAAUAUGCUGUAACUGUUGUUGGCUAUCCAAUUGGGGGUGACACUAUCUCUGUCACAAGUGGUGUUGUAUCACUCAUGGAGAUACUUUCCUAUGUACAUUGGUGAACGGGGCUUUUGGGACUGGACGUUUGGGCUGGGCAAUCCGACGGUCCAACACGUGCACAACAAAUGAAGUCCAACACUAGAGCUACUCUCACAAAGACCCACACUUGGGGCAACAACAAAUGAGGAUUUUAAAUUGCGGAAGCUAAUUAGAUAGAUGCAACCAUAAAUUCUGGUGGGACUGCUUUCAAUGAUAAGGGCAAUUGUGUAGGUAUCGCAUUCCAGUCGCUGAAACAUGAAGACAUAGAGAGUAUUGGUUAUGAUUUCCAAUUCUUGGAGUUGAGUGGCAGAAGAUGGAUAAUCCUGAUUUACGCAUGUGGUGUCCAUGGAGAUGACUUCUGAACAGAAGAGUUUUCAUAUUAGAAGAGUUGAGCCAACCAUUCCAGAAUCUCAGGUUCUCAACCCAUCGGAUGUGAUCCUUAGCUUUGAUGGUGUAAAUAUUGCUAACGAUGGAACAGGUUAGCAUUCCCACACUCCCUCCCUCCAUCCUCCUCUUUCUGCCUCUCUCUCUCUUAUAACUGUUUCCCCCACUUUGUAUCUCCAAUGACUUAACGUUAACAUGUCUUAUUUGUCAUUAGCAUUACAUACUCAUUUUUGUUCAGAACUGCUGCUGAUACCUUGUAUCUCUUGUGACUUGUGAGUAAAGAUUUCUAGAUUGAGAGUAAAUAUGACCCUGUGAAUGUAUAGUGUCACCAUUACUUGUUUAAUAUGGAUGAAUUAUUGUUCUAACUCUGGUUGUGUUUCUGGCUUUCUUCACGAUUGAUUGUGUUCUCUCUUUUAACUCUGAUUACCUUCCCUGUCUCCUGUCCAACAGUUAGACAUGUAUUUACUUAUAAUCUUGUGCAUAUCAUCAAAGAACUUGUUAGCUAGAGUAGGCAAGCCUCCAUACAGGUCAAGAUAACCCCAUACCUACCGUGACGCCUCUGGCUCAAUCAGAUCACCCUGCUUGGCAUGACAAGUGGAUAAAUGGCUGGGCUGCUUUGAUAUCGCUUGUCACGGGUUGGUCAUUCUUCAUGUUUUCAGACAACCCUUGUGCUUAUUCCCACGGUUAAUUUAUAAACGACGCCAAGGCCAAGUUAUAAUCUAGCUUGAAGUUCGUUUACAGUGGGAGCUGGGGAAAGGGUUUUGAGAAGAGACUGGCUUACACCCCUACUCUUACCUGUCGAAGCAGGUGGUGAGAAACUUGACCACUUUUACUAAUAUGUACAUGCUUUACCUAUAUUGCUCUCUAAAGUAGACAUGGAUGUUACUAAUAGAUACAAGCUUUACACUUGUUCAUUCUUGUAGCUUUGCAACAGAGGGGCCUUAUGAGAAGAUGAUGUUUCUGGGCUGCCAAUUUCGAAAUCCUUGCCUAUUUCUUCUUGAGCUUUUCCCCACAUUACGGAUUUGCUUCUUCUCUCUGGUCUAUCAUACCUUCCAAGAUGGAGAGUAUCGCCAAGGAACAGGACACCCAUGGCAGCAGCAAUGGCAAUCGACAACGGCUUGAACAUUGCUACAAAGACAGGACCCUUAUGGUGCAGGGCCCAUGUAUGAACAACAUUGUUCAGGCAAG